GACGAACGCUGGCGGCGUGCUUAGCACAUGCAAGUCGAACGGUAAGGCCCUUCGGGGUACACGAGUGGCGAACGGGUGAGUAACACGUGGGUGAUCUGCCCUGCACUUCGGGAUAAGCCUGGGAAACUGGGUCUAAUACCGGAUAGGACCACUGCCUGCAUGGGUGGUGGUGGAAAGCUUUUGCGGUGUGGGAUGGGCCCGCGGCCUAUCAGCUUGUCGGUGGGGUGACGGCCUACCAAGGCGACGACGGGUAGCCGGCCUGAGAGGGUGACCGGGCACACUGGGACUGAGAUACGGCCCAGACUCCUACGGGAGGCAGCAGUGGGGAAUAUUGCACAAUGGGCGCAAGCUUGAUGCAGCGACGCCGCGUGAGGGAUGACGGCCUUCGGGUUGUAAAGCUCUGUCUUCGGGGACGAUAAUGACGGUACCCGAGGAGGAAGCCACGGCUAACUACGUGCCAGCCGCCGCAGUAA
rnacentral:rRNA from 1 species